rnacentral:rRNA from 1 species
UCGGGAAUAUUGCGCAAUGGAGGAAACUCUGACGCAGUGACGCCGCGUGCAGGAAGAAGGUUUUCGGAUUGUAAACUGCUUUAGACAGGGAAGAACAAAGACAGUACCUGUAGAAUAAGCUCCGGCUAACUACGUGCCAGCAGCCGCGGUAAUACGUAGGGAGCAAGCGUUAUCCGGAUUUAUUGGGUGUAAAGGGUGCGUAGACGGAGAAGCAAGUUAGUUGUGAAAUCCCUCGGCUUAACUGAGGAACUGCAACUAAAACUACUUCCCUUGAGUGCUGGAGAGGAAAGUGGAAUUCCUAGUGUAGCGGUGAAAUGCGUAGAUAUUAGGAGGAACACCAGUGGCGAAGGCGACUUUCUGGACAGUAACUGACGUUGAGGCACGAAAGUGUGGGGAGCAAACAGGAUUAGAUACCC